rnacentral:rRNA from 1 species
ACUCUUCGAUGUUCUGGGCUGCACGCGCGCUACAGUGGCAAAGACAGAGAGCAUGAAUUAAUUAUAGAGUCGCAUCGAGGGAUGUGACGAAUCAGCAAUCGUUGUCGUGAUUGGGAUUGAGCGUUGUAAUAUUUGCUCAUGAAAGAGGAAUUCCUCGUAAGCGCGAGUCACUAACUCGUGUUAAUUACGUCUCUGCCCUUUGUACACACCGCCCGUCGCUACUACCGAUUGAACUGGUUUUUGAAGUGUAGAGAUUGGCAGGCAUGGUUUACGUGCAUUGCAAAGAACCACUCUGAAAAAAUCGUUCGAGAAGAAGUAAAAGUCGUAACA